CUGAACAGUGGUCGCAGGCGACAGAUGAGCAGUGGCAGUUGUUUUACGUUCAGAUUUUCGUUUAGUUUUACGCUGAUUGUGGCUGCAGACCAUUGAUGGUGGUCACAGCAACAAUUGCUGAUCCGUGAAACAGCGUACAGCGUUGACCAGCUCAGCUAGUAUUGUCUCAUGGUGUCUCUUGCCUCAAACCAAUGACGUCGUCGGCUCUCAUCGCGGUCUGGCUGGCCGUCGGUCUUGUGUCCAUCGUACGCUCGCAGUUACUAUUAGGGGGUGACCGUCUGGACUUUCUGGAUCGGGCCGCCACAUGGAGAGAAGCUCACGAGCAGUGUCGACUUCGACACUCUUUCUUGGUGCCAUCGCAAGCUGCAUUCGACAGCUUGGUGGGCCUCAGCUCAGCAGGUCGUCUGAAUCCAUCAAGGGACUUUUGGAUCGGUGCCAAGUAUCUACGAAACGGCUACUUUGAAUGGCUUCUCCAGGAUGGUG